GACGAACGCUGGCGGCGUGCCUAACACAUGCAAGUCGAACGGUAACGGGAAGAAGCUUGCUUCUUUGCUGACGAGUGGCGGACGGGUGAGUAAUGUCUGGGAAACUGCCUGAUGGAGGGGGAUAACUACUGGAAACGGUAGCUAAUACCGCAUAACGUCGCAAGACCAAAGAGGGGGACCUUCGGGCCUCUUGCCAUCGGAUGUGCCCAGAUGGGAUUAGCUAGUUGGUGGGGUAACGGCUCACCAAGGCGACGAUCCCUAGCUGGUCUGAGAGGAUGACCAGCCACACUGGAACUGAGACACGGUCCGGACUCCUACGGGAGGCAGCAGUGGGGAAUAUUGCACAAUGGGCGCAAGCCUGAUGCAGCCAUGCCGCGUGUAUGAAGAAGGCCUUCGGGUUGUAAAGUACUUUCAGCGGGGAGGAAGGGAGUAAAGUUAAUACCUUUGCUCAUUGACGUUACCCGCAGAAGAAGCACCGGCUAACUCCGUGCCAGCAGCCGCCGUAA
rnacentral:rRNA from 1 species